ensembl:lncRNA
CAAUAAAACAUUUUCCCUUGUGGAAAUGGGCAUAUUCUCCAUUAAGUACAUAUAUCAUUAGUGGGGAAAGUGAAUGAAUGUGGGAAACAUACAUGUUGAAUAUAUAGAGCCCGAGAGUACAUAUAGAUGAAUGUGUAUGCAAGUUUUGGGGCAACUCACACCUCUAAUAUAGCAGAGCUGCCUUUGAUCUUCUGGAUCAUGCUGCUCUCACUGGGCUGCUCUUGUGGUCUCCACUAGACAUUCUUCUGCUGGAUUCAUUUCAUCUCCACCAGACAAUGCUCCCUUGAACAAUUUGUCUCUGCCAGAUGCACUGUCUUCAUUAGCUAUAACCAUACACAACUCCACCGAGCACGUGGCCAGCUACAGAGCCUCUCUGAACUUCCAGAUCCUGAUUAUCAGUGGGAGUUCUUAAUAAUACUAUCUCUUUAUGAGAAUAAGCUCCAUCAAUUUUUUGAAAAAUUCUCUUAAAAAACCAACAGCCCUUCAUUCAGUUGUGGCCCACCAAUGUCUUCCCUAAGAAAAAUGCUUUUUAGCUUUCUGCUUAGGGAGUUUUUAAAAUUCAUUUCAGUCUUGGCCAAGGCUUUUUUACCUGCAAUUGAAUUGUCUUUCACCCCAACUGCCAAGCUCUUUAAAAUUCAGAGAAGACUCACUGUAGGUAAAAAAUUAAGUCCACCAGUCCAGGUCUCUUUUUAAAUAAAACUUUUAUCAUCUAUACAUUGGUUGUCAGACUUCACUCAGGGUGAGAAUUUCUGCUGCCAGAAUUGAUUUCAUUUGAGAUUAUUAUCCUUCCAAAUUAAUUUCUGAGUUCUGUCAUGGAAAACUCCAAAGAACUGUGUUGAUCCAAUUCACUUUUACAAUUCACAUGAAGUAAAAAUAUGACAAAAAUAGGUUUGCUUUUACAAUACACAUUAAAAACAUGACAAAAAUCUCAGCAAAGGGGAUUUUCAUGUCUCAUCACAUUCCUAGCUCUAAAUAAAUAUGGCAGCAGACAUAAAAGAUUUUGACCUUUGCUUAUACUGAUAAACAAGCCUUGUAUAAUCAAUCCUUAAAAUAAAUAUAACAAAUAAAACAAAAUCAAAAUGGCACUAAUAGCCUCUGAAAAUUAUUUUUAAAUUUAAAUUGAUAUAAAAUUGUGUGGACUUUCCCAAGGUUAACAGUGUGGAGGGGAGGAAAUUUUGUACUUUGCAAAGUAUAACAACUUCCCCAUCUAAAUUGAGUCCUCCAAACUUCCUUACUUCUGUUGAAGGUGACACCAUCUUUUCCAGAUUUGAAAUGCCAGAUCCUUGACUCUUCUUAUUCACUGCUUCCAAAUCUAAUCAAGUACUUUCCUUAAGUUUAUCUUAACCAUAUUUCUUGCAUUUAUUUCCUUUUUCAUGCAUGUAAUCACCACCUUGGAUCACAAGCCCAGAUCAUUUUUUCCUUUAAUUAUUCCAAGUCUCCUACUUGAUUUGUAUACUUACCAUUUUUCCUUCUCUGAUCUAUCCUCUAGGUAGAUAACCAAAAUAAUUUUCCCAAGUCUUGAAUCUAACCAUGCUGUUUCCUGCUCAUUUCUUCUGUGACUACCUACUGCCUCUAGUAUAUAUUGCAAAUAAAGUAAACCUGGCAUUUAAAGCCUCUAACUUUGGUUUCAAAGUAUUCUUCCAGUCUUAUAGGAUUAAACUUCAUGUAGUACAUUCCAUUUCCCCUGUGUGUUCCUUUACAAGUUACAGCCCAAACCUGGAAUGAACCAUUUCCUUAUAACCAAUUAUUUGUGAAGCAACUAUUAUGUGUCAGGCAGUAUGUUAAGUACUUUAGUUAUUAUUCUCAUUUGAACCUUACAACAAACUUGAGAGGUAGGUGUUGUCCCCACUUACUACUUUAAAAAAGUGAGAUUAAGAGACUUGUCCAAGAGUCUAGUCUACAGAGUCUGAGACCGGAUAUCCCAUUAUUCUUUAAUCCAGGUCCAAGGCUCUAUUUAACUGCACAUUCCUUUCAAGGCUCAGUUGUUACAUCCUCCAAGUCUUCUUGGAUUCCCUCAUAUUAGCAUUUUCCCUGUUCUCAUUUUGAUUUAAAUCAUAGUUUUAUCCUAGAAAGGACUUCAGAGAUUAUGGUCAAAUCCUAUUUAAAAAUGAGAAACUUGAGGCCAAAGGAAUGUAAGCAUGUUGCUUAAAAUUACAUGAGUAAUAGGUGACAAAGCCAAGAUUUUAAUUCUGGUCUUCUGAGUACGGAUGCAGAAUUCUAUCCAGUACAAUGUUCUCAUCUAAUCCCUACAGCAAAAUGUAAGUCUUUGAAAAUAGGCAAUGUUCCAUUUUAGUUUUGUGCCUACCAUGAUGUUUUAAAUUAAAGGUAAUUAAAUUUUAUUUCUGAUAAAACAUUUCCAAGAACACUUAGCUGCUGUAAUUCUUCAAGUUUAAAUAACAGAAUAACUUUUGUUUUUAAGAAGCCAUUUUCACUGGAUGUAUUCAGCCUAAAACUAUACUAAAAACAUGAAUUGGCUAAUCUACUAAUAAUUCUAUUAGUUUCCCAGGCCUAUUUCAAUC